GUAGCUAAUACCGAAUAAGGUCAAUUGAGGUGUUAAUUGAUGAAAGGAAGCCUUUAAAGCUUCGCUUGUAGAUGAGUCUGCGUCUUAUUAGCUAGUUGGUGGGAUAAGAGCCUACCAAGGCUAUGAUAAGUAACCGGCCUGAGAGGGUGAUCGGUCACACUGGAACUGAGAUACGGUCCAGACUCCUACGGGAGGCAGCAGCUAAGAAUCUUCCGCAAUGGGCGAAAGCCUGACGGAGCGACACUGCGUGAACGAAGAAGGUCGAAAGAUUGUAAAGUUCUUUUAUAAGUGAGGAAUAAGCUUUGUAGGAAAUGACAAAGUGAUGACGUUAAUUUAUGAAUAAGCCCCGGCUAAUUACGUGCCAGCAGCCGCGGUAAUACGUAAGGGGCGAGCGUUGUUCGGGAUCAUUGGGCGUAAAGGGUGAGUAGGCGGAUAUGCAAGUCUAUGUGUAAAAUACCACAGCUCAACUGUGGAACUAUGCUGGAAACUGCAUGACUAGAGUCUGAUAGGGGAAGUUAGAAUUCCUGGUGUAAGGGUGGAAUCUGUUGAUAUCAGGAAGAAUACCAGAGGCGAAGGCGAACUUCUAGGUCAAGACUGACGCUGAGUCACGAAAGCGUAGGGAGCAAACAGGAUUAGAUACCCUGGUAGUCUACGCUGUAAACGAUGCACACUUGGUGUUAAUCGAAAGGUUAGUACCGAAGCUAACGUGUUAAGUGUGCCGCCUGGGGAGUAUGUUCGCAAGAAUGAAACUCAAAGGAAUUGACGGGGGCCCGCACAAGCGGUGGAGCAUGUGGUUUAAUUCGAUGAUACGCGAGGAACCUUACCAGGGCUUGACAUAUACAGGAUAUAGUUAGAGAUGACUAUUCCCCGUUUGGGGUCUGUAUACAGGUGCUGCAUGGUUGUCGUCAGCUCGUGCCGUGAGGUGUUGGGUUAAGUCCCGCAACGAGCGCAACCCUUAUUGUCUGUUACCAGCAUGUAAAGAUGGGGACUCAGACGAGACUGCCGGUGAUAAGCCGGAGGAAGGUGAGGAUGACGUCAAAUCAUCAUGGCCCUUAUGUCCUGGGCUACACACGUGCUACAAUGGCCUGUACAAAGCGAUGCGAAACAGUGAUGUGAAGCAAAACGCAGAAAGCAGGUCUCAGUCCAGAUUGAAGUCUGAAACUCGGCUUCAUGAAG
rnacentral:rRNA from 1 species